CCUACGGGUGGCUGCAGUGGGGAAUAUUGCACAAUGGGCGCAAGCCUGAUGCAGCCAUGCCGCGUGUGUGAAGAAGGCCUUCGGGUUGUAAAGCACUUUCAGCGGGGAGGAAGGCGGUGAGGUUAAUAACCUCAUCGAUUGACGUUACCCGCAGAAGAAGCACCGGCUAGCUCCGUGCCAGCAGCCGCGGUAAUACGGAGGGUGCAAGCGUUAAUCGGAAUUACUGGGCGUAAAGCGCGCGCAGGCGGUCUGUCAAGUCGGAUGUGAAAUCCCCGGGCUCAACCUGGGAACUGCAUUCGAAACUGGCAGGCUAGAGUCUUGUAGAGGGGGGUAGAAUUCCAGGUGUAGCGGUGAAAUGCGUAGAGAUCUGGAGGAAUACCGGUGGCGAAGGCGGCCCCCUGGACAAAGACUGACGCUCAGGUGCGAAAGCGUGGGGAGCAAACAGGAUUAGAUACCCGGGUAGUC
rnacentral:rRNA from 1 species